CACGUAGGGGGCGAGCGUUGUCCGGAUUUAUUGGGCGUAAAGAGCUCGUAGGCGGCUCAGUAAGUCAGGUGUGAAAACUCCAGGCUCAACCUGGAGACGCCACCUGAUACUGCUGUGGCUAGAGUCCGGUAGGGGAGCAUGGAAUUCCUGGUGUAGCGGUGAAAUGCGCAGAUAUCAGGAGGAACACCAGUGGCGGAAGGCGGUGCUCUGGGCCGGAACUGAACGCUGGAGGAGCGGAAAGCGUGGGGAGCAAACAGG
rnacentral:rRNA from 1 species